rnacentral:rRNA from 1 species
GAUGAACGCUGGCGGCGCGCCUAACACAUGCAAGUCGAGCGGUGAAGUCCCUUCGGGGACGGAUCAGUGGCGGACGGGUGAGUAACGCGUGAGUAACCUGCCCUUAUGAGUGGAAUAACGUCUGGAAACGGACGCCAAUACCGCAUACGAUCGGAGGAUGAAAGCGGGGGACCGUAAGGCCUCGCGCGAUCGGAGCGGCCGAUGUCAGAUUAGGUAGUUGGUGGGGUAAAGGCUCACCAAGCCAACGAUCUGUAGCUGGUCUGAGAGGACGACCAGCCACACUGGGACUGAGACACGGCCCAGACUCCUACGGGAGGCAGCGGUGGGGAAUUUUGGACAAUGGGCGAAAGCCUGAUCCAGCAAUGCCGCGUGCAGGAAGAAGGCCUUCGGGUUGUAAACUGCUUUUGUACGGAGCGAAAAGGUCUCCUCUAAUACAGGGGGCUCAUGACGGUACCGUAAGAAUAAGCACCGGCUAACUACGUGCCAGCCGCCGCGGUAACAC